ensembl:lncRNA MIR22HG MIR22 host gene
GGUGUGUGCUGGGUGCCGAGAAGAGACAGCGCCGCCGGCCGUGGGGAGCGGACGCAGUGAUUUGCUCCCCCUCGUGCAGCAACCCCCACACCCAGCACCAGGCCCCCAGAACUCUCCUUCCAGCUGAACUCCCUGGGAACAAGUCAGUUGGGCUGAUCACUGAACUCACAUUUCUGGACCUGAGGAGCCUGUUCCUCUCACGCCCUCACCUGGCUGAGCCGCAGUAGUUCUUCAGUGGCAAGCUUUAUGUCCUGACCCAGCUAAAGCUGCCAGUUGAAGAACUGUUGCCCUCUGCCCCUGGCUUCGAGGAGGAGGAGGAGCUGCUUUCCCCAUCAUCUGGAAGGUGGUAUGUGAUCCCCAGCUCAGGCCUGUGCAGACAGGAAAUUCUCCCCUGCAGCAAGUAGGGGAGGUGGGUUGUGGGAUGUGACCUCCUUCCAGAUAUCAGGCAGUGAGUGUAAACCUGCCACCUCCAGCCCUGAUCCAUUCUCACCUAGCGGCUACAGGAAGCUGUGUCUGUUCGAUUUGGUGGGAGGAGAUGUGCAGGGAGCUGUAUCUUGUCCUCCGCUUGUGAAAAACUCAAGGAUGUGGAGAAGAGUAGACCGUGGAACCCUGCUCUUCUGCAGCCAAGCUGAGGGGCAGGAUGCGUGUGGGACAGUGGUAGAGAAGCAGGGGAUAGACUCAUAGGCUGCAACAAAGGUGACUCUGUCCCUGGACACUGCCUCCGUACUUUCUCCUUGCUUCACUGGCCACAGCAUCUCCCUCCAGCCCUCGCUAUGUGCCUCUGCCAUCUUCACCCAUCAUGGAGCAGAGGUGAGGAGAGGCAGCCUGGGAAUAUGGAGACCAGUGAAGGACCAGGCCUGGAGAGCACAGGGUCCUACCUGGGCAUCCAGCAGAGGAGCCCCUAAAGGCCAGGAGCACCCCAAGAGGAGGGAGGGCAGCCAGCCUCCAUUGACGGCGAGCCUCCAGCCCUCUCCUACUUUGAUCACCAUUUCUCUCCAGGCUUUCUGCCUCCGAGAUGUGGCACCAUAGUGCGGUGCCCUGUGGCUUCACCGCCCUACUUCCACCUCCGCCCAGCCUGUAAUGUUUAUAUAAGCAGCCUCAAGGACCAAGAACCAUCUGCGAAAGGACACACACAGGAAAUUCAUAAAAGAAAUCUGAAUGGAUAAAACCAUGAAAAAAAGUAUGCUUCAUUAGUAAUUAAAGAAAGGCAAAUAGAGCUGGAAGCAUUUUUCCCUUAGCAAACCAUAACAGAAAAAAAUAAGACCCAAUAUUGGCAAAGAGACUACUGAAAAAACAUUCCCAUACAUUGCGUGUGGGAGUAUACAUCGGUGCAGGCUUCCUGGAUGACAGUUGGGUGAUAUGUGUCAUGUGGCCUAAAAGCCUCCAUGUCAUUUGACCUACGAAUUCUAUCUUUGGGAAUUUAUCCUAAGAAAAUACUUAAGGAUUUAGUUAGUGAUAAGAUGUUCAUCCCAGCAUUGCAAUGGAGAAAAAUGGGAAGCAAUGGUUUGGUUGGGAAUUUAUUCCUUUUCUGCUGUAACGAAAGUUUGCAAUAGGGGAUUGCUUAAGUAAAUUAUUGUAUCUCCAUCCAGAUGGUGGAGUACCGCGCAGACAUUAAAAGUCAUGUAAAAGAACAUCUGACUGAAAGAAAAAUGCUCCUUGAAUAUUAAAAGGUUGUAAAAAUAGUGCAUGUUAUGUGAUUUCAAUUUUGUUUUUUAAAAUAUGGGUGUAUGCUUGUAUACGUAGAGCAGAUAAAAAAGACGGAAGGCAUACUAAAAAAUGUUGAGUGGUUAUCUUUGUAUGGUGGAACAAAGUCACUGUAAUUUUCAUCUUUGGUUUUUCUGUAAUUUCCAAAUUUUCCACAUUUUGUAUUUCAUAUAAUA